UACGUAGGUGGCAAGCGUUGUCCGGAAUUAUUGGGCGUAAAGCGCGCGCAGGCGGUCCUUUAAGUCUGAUGUGAAAGCCCACGGCUCAACCGUGGAGGGUCAUUGGAAACUGGGGGACUUGAGUGCAGAAGGGGAAAGCGGAAUUCCACGUGUAGCGGUGAAAUGCGUAGAGAUGUGGAGGAACACCAGUGGCGAAGGCGGCUUUCUGGUCUGUAACUGACGCUGAGGCGCGAAAGCGUGGGGAGCAAACAGG
rnacentral:rRNA from 1 species